AUGCUCACUUUGGCAGUACAAAUACUAAAAUUGGAAUGAUACAGAGAUUAGCAUGGCUCCUAUGCAAGGAUGACAUACAAAUUUGUGAAGUGUUCCAUGUUAAA
ensembl:snRNA U6 U6 spliceosomal RNA